rnacentral:lncRNA from 1 species
GUAAUGACCGGGUAUUUUAUGUCACGUUAGCAUUUCUAUUUUGAAAAGUCUUAUUUUGAAUGAUGGUUGAAAAGUCAAAAAGAAAAGUGCCUGAAGAACACGUGUUAACUUUGGAUUGGUGAAAUUCGGUUUAUUGUGUUGGUCAAUUAGGUGAGUUGAAAAUUUUAUGCCAUGUCAGCCUUAGGGUGGAAAUUUCUUAGGAUUUUAGUAAUUGGGAAUUUC